GGCCUGCGGCGGAAUGUUGCGUUAAGGGAAAGGUCGUAGUCAAACCCUACAACCACACGAACUCUAAGUCUGCCACGAAUAGGCUAUCCCAACUAACGGCGGGAGUGACUCCACGGAGGGUGUAAGACCCGUGUGGGCGUGUGUCAAUGUUGUAUGGGCUCGGCCUCUUCCCUGAGAGUCGCGUUGCUUGAGCAUGCAGCGCUAAGCAGGUCGUAAACUCGAUCUAAGGCUAAAUAUUUCCACAGGACCGAUAGCAAACAAGUACCGUGAGGGAAAGUUGAAAAGCACUCUGAAGAGAGAGUCAAAAGACCGUGAAACCGCUCAGAGUAUAAGCCCAUGGAGCUUGGAAGGCUUCCGCAGCGGCGUGCAUCCCUUGUGGGUGUACGUGAGGACAUUGUGAAAGGUUCGCUAGGCAGGGGGCAAUCGAGUUUGUUACCCACCGCCGUGCUGGUGAAUUGCCUGGGAGGAGUCGUGCCUCGGUGCGGCUCUCUUUUGGGUCGUUCUCAUGUGUAUGAACGUUCAAGGACAAUGACCUAAUGCGGUACGCCCACCACAGUUUGUUGUGAGGUCACCCACAGGCUCAAACUGUCGAUCGUGUGUUCAGUGCGUGGCCUGAAUUGUGUGCCGUUCGUAAUAUAGUGCCACCGUUAUCUGUGUGGCGCUCCGGCAUGCAGUCGCGCGCUGGACCAGGCGACGAAACGAGUAUAUCCUGGUAUGAUCCUCGUGCGACAAUCUGAUUCUGACCGAGUGUACAUCGCUACCGUUUGGCUCUGCCCAUGUGUCGGGCGGAGUCAGGAGGUGCAACCUGAUUGUCUGGUCCUCUGAACGAUGUAACAGUCGAUAAGAUCUCAGUCGAGGUAGCGAACGACUCGCGUGGUGUUAAGUCCAGCACCAUCGGUCACGUCUCGAAACACGGGCCAAGGAGUAUAGCAUGUGUGCAAGUCUAAGGGUCUCACAAAACCCGCAGGCGAAGUGAAAGCAAAUGGUGUGGCGGGAGCGCUACGGCAAUCUCGUCAGCCUUGUGGUGGUCAAAAACUACUCGGCUUAAACCGAGCUGAUCCUGUUCUGUUGGCAAUGUCUCAAGGCAGGCGCAAGCUCCGGGCUCACAUACCAACACUGGCAUCCUCACGGGUGCUGUGUUGUGAGCACCGUGGAGCAUGCAUGCUAUAACCCGAAAGAUAGUGAACUAUGCCUGGCGAGGGCGAAGCCCCAGGAAACUGGGGUGGAGGCC
rnacentral:rRNA from 1 species